UGGGGAAUUUUGGACAAUGGGCGAAAGCCUGAUCCAGCAAUGCCGCGUGUGUGAAGAAGGCCUUCGGGUUGUAAAGCACUUUUGUCCGGAAAGAAAUCCUUGGCUCUAAUACAGUCGGGGGAUGACGGUACCGGAAGAAUAAGCACCGGCUAACUACGUGCCAGCAGCCGCGGUAAUACGUAGGGUGCAAGCGUUAAUCGGAAUUACUGGGCGUAAAGCGUGCGCAGGCGGUUUGCUAAGACCGAUGUGAAAUCCCCGGGCUCAACCUGGGAACUGCAUUGGUGACUGGCAGGCAAGAGUAUGGCAGAGGGGGGUAGAAUUCCACGUGUAGCAGUGAAAUGCGUAGAGAUGUGGAGGAAUACCGAUGGCGAAGGCAGCCCCCUGGGCCAAUACUGACGCUCAUGCACGAAAGCGUGGGGAGCAAACAGGAUUAGAUACCCUGGUAGUCCACGCCCUAAACGAUGUCAACUAGUUGUUGGGGAUUCAUUUCCUUAGUAACGUAGCUAACGCGUGAAGUUGACCGCCUGGGGAGUACGGUCGCAAGAUUAAAACUCAAAUGAAUUGACGGGGUCAUAGCUGUUUCC
rnacentral:rRNA from 1 species